AAUCCGUGUUGUGAGCAUUGGCUAAGUAAACUCUUAUAUCGUUUCCAAGCCACUGAAUAACAUUUUGAGUCCAUUUGCUAAAAAGUAGUGAUCGCGUCCCUUAGCUU
rnacentral:snoRNA from 1 species